UGUAGACUACUGUUAGAGAAUAUCCCUUCAUUCCUACUGCCAUAGAGAGUGUUGUGAUCAACUGGAACCUCCUGUGUCUUGUCUUGUCUUAGGAACAGUGCUGCUCACCAAGCUGCUCAGAUUAUGGAGUCCCAAGCUAUCUAACAAAGUCAGUUUACUAUAAUUAUACUGGUCUAGAUGCUGGAAUAUAGUUUUAACACACGUAUCUAGUUGGUGUAUUGGUACGCCUCUGAGACUCCUGACUCGGUUAGCCUGAAGAGAAAAGUAUCAGAUAUAAAGCAACAGUUGCAGCACGUUAAUAUGAUGGUGAGAUGAAACUUAUGUAUGGAUACCACUAUCGAUUAUAUCUGACAGGACAAUUUUACAGAUCAUGCCAGACUUCAGAGGAGAAUCAAUCAGAAGGACAGAGAGCUUCAGGUGAAAGGUCUGUGCUAUUGUAACUAUAGCUAGCUACCAUUAACAAAACAUUCCCUUAGAGAAGGGUCAAGUCACGGUUGACGAAGCUGAGUGCCGUCUUGAGUGGAGGGAGUUCAUUGUUAAUAAUGAGAGCACAUACAUCCCUCUCUACCAUUGCUAAUUGUUGUCAUGCCGUUUCGUAGUUGAUAAUGCGUAUUGGUGUCGUCAUGUUGAAUCAUCGGAGACCAGUUGCCAUUUUCCCCACUGAACUGUUCCAUCCAGUGUCUCCACUCCUGGCCUUCCCCACUGGACAACCAGGUGGUAUCGGCUGUCCUCUGUGGGCUGUAGCCUGCUCUCAGUUUAGAUACUGUCAUGCAAUGUCUGAACGUUGUCUAGUUUUAUUAUUGUAUAUACUUUCAUAAUUAUAUUAUAAUUGUUUUUUGGUUUCAGUUGUUAUUCUGGCGUACAUGUUAUAAUUAUUUUUAUAAUACAAUCUAUUCAUGUACAAUUAUGUAACAGAAAAGUUGUUAUUACUGAAUAGUUGUUAUUGUGAUCUAACAA